rnacentral:rRNA from 1 species
CGACUGAGGCGGCGGACGGGUGAGUAACGCGUGGGUAACCUGCCUUACACAGGGGGAUAACAGUUAGAAAUGACUGCUAAUACCGCAUAAGACCCCGGGUACCGCAUGGUACAGAGGUAAAAACUGAGGUGGUGUAAGAUGGACCCGCGUCUGAUUAGGUAGUUGGUGAGGUAACGGCUCACCAAGCCGACGAUCAGUAGCCGGCCUGAGAGGGUGGACGGCCACAUUGGGACUGAGACACGGCCCAGACUCCUACGGGAGGCAGCAG